rnacentral:tRNA from 1 species
AGCAGCGUGGUGUAGUGGUUUGAGUGUUGGACUAUGACUCUGGAACCAGGGUUCAGUUCCCUGCACAGCCA